CCUACGGGAGGCAGCAGUAGGGAAUAUUGCUCAAUGGGGGAAACCCUGAAGCAGCAACGCCGCGUGGCGGUUGAAGGUUUUCGGAUUGUAAACUUCUUUUUUUAGAGAAGAUAAUGACGGUAUCUAACGAAUAAGCAACGGCUCACUCCGUGCCAGCAGGCGUGGUAAUAAGGAGGGUGCAAGGGUUACGCGGAAUCAUUGGGCGUUAAGCGCGCGUAGGCGGGUUAGCAAGUCAGAGGGGAAAUCCUAUGGCUUAACCAUAGAACUGCAUUUGAAACUGUUAUUCUAGAGUAUGGGAGUGGUAGGUGGAAUUCUUGGUGUAGGGGUAAAAUCCGUAGAGAUCAAGAGGAAUACUCAUUGCGAAGGCGACCUGCUAGGACAUAACUGACGCUGAUGCGCGAAAGCGUGGGGAGCAAACAGGAUUAGAUACCCGUGUAGUC
rnacentral:rRNA from 1 species